GACGAACGCUGGCGGCGUGCUUAACACAUGCAAGUCGAACGGCAGCACGGGGGCAACCCUGGUGGCGAGUGGCGAACGGGUGAGUAAUACAUCGGAACGUGCCCGGUAGUGGGGGAUAGCUCGGCGAAAGCCGGAUUAAUACCGCAUACGACCUGCGGGUGAAAGCGGGGGAUCGCAAGACCUCGCGCUAUCGGAGCGGCCGAUGUCAGAUUAGGUUGUUGGUGGGGUAAAGGCCUACCAAGCCGACGAUCUGUAGCUGGUCUGAGAGGACGACCAGCCACACUGGGACUGAGACACGGCCCAGACUCCUACGGGAGGCAGCAGUGGGGAAUUUUGGACAAUGGGCGCAAGCCUGAUCCAGCCAUGCCGCGUGCGGGAAGAAGGCCU
rnacentral:rRNA from 1 species